rnacentral:rRNA from 1 species
CCCUUAGUAGCGGCGAGCGAAACGGGAAGAGCCCAAACCAACAAGCUUGCUUGUUGGGGUUGUAGGACACUCUAUACGGAGUUACAAAGGACGACAUUAGACGAAUCAUCUGGAAAGAUGAAUCAAAGAAGGUAAUAAUCCUGUAGUCGAAAAUGUUGUCUCUCUUGAGUGGAUCCUGAGUACGACGGAGCACGUGAAAUUCCGUCGGAAUCUGGGAGGACCAUCUCCUAAGGCUAAAUACUCUCUAGUGACCGAUAGUGAACCAGUACCGUGAGGGAAAGGUGAAAAGCACCCCGGAAGGGGAGUGAAAUAGAACCUGAAACCGUGUGCUUACAAGUAGUCAGAGCCCGUUAAUGGGUGAUGGCGUGCCUUUUGUAGAAUGAACCGGCGAGUUACGAUUUGAUGCAAGGUUAAGCAGUAAAUGUGGAGCCGUAGCGAAAGCGAGUCUGAAUAGGGCGUUUAGUAUUUGGUCGUAGACCCGAAACCAGGUGAUCUACCCUUGGUCAGGUUGAAGUUCAGGUAACACUGAAUGGAGGACCGAACCGACUUACGUUGAAAAGUGAGCGGAUGAACUGAGGGUAGCGGAGAAAUUCCAAUCGAACCUGGAGAUAGCUGGUUCUCUCCGAAAUAGCUUUAGGGCUAGCCUCAAGUGAUGAUUAUUGGAGGUAGAGCACUGUUUGGACGAGGGGCCCCUCUCGGGUUACCGAAUUCAGACAAACUCCGAAUGCCAAUUAAUUUAACUUGGGAGUCAGAACAUGGGUGAUAAGGUCCGUGUUCGAAAGGGAAACAGCCCAGACCACCAGCUAAGGUCCCAAAAUAUAUGUUAAGUGGAAAAGGAUGUGGCGUUGCCCAGACAACUAGGAUGUUGGCUUAGAAGCAGCCAUCAUUUAAAGAGUGCGUAAUAGCUCACUAGUCGAGUGACACUGCGCCGAAAAUGUACCGGGGCUAAACAUAUUACCGAAGCUGUGGAUUGUCCUUUGGACAAUGGUAGGAGAGCGUUCUAAGGGCGUUGAAGCAUGAUCGUAAG